rnacentral:rRNA from 1 species
UACGUAGGUGGCAAGCGUUGUCCGGAUUUACUGGGCGUAAAGAGCGCGCAGGCGGUCGUUCAAGUCGCGUGUGAAAGCCCCCGGCUCAACUGGGGAGGGUCACGCGAUACUGAUCGACUCGAAGGCAGGAGAGGGUAGUGGAAUUCCCGGUGUAGUGGUGAAAUGCGCAGAUAUCGGGAGGAACACCAAUGGCGAAGGCAGCUCGCUGGGACGGUACUGACGCUGAGACGCGAAAGCGUGGGGAGCAAACAGGG